rnacentral:rRNA from 1 species
UACGUCGGUCCCGAGCGUUGUCCGGAUUUAUUGGGCGUAAAGCGAGCGCAGGUGGUUUAUUAAGUCUGGUGUAAAAGGCAGUGGCUCAACCAUUGUAUGCAUUGGAAACUGGUAGACUUGGGUGCAGGAGAGGAGAGUGGAAUUCCAUGUGUAGCGGUGAAAUGCGUAGAUAUAUGGAGGAACACCGGUGGCGAAAGCGGCUCUCUGGCCUGUAACUGACACUGAGGCUCGAAAGCGUGGGGAGCAAACAGG